rnacentral:rRNA from 1 species
GAUGAACCCUGGCGGCGUGCCUAAUACAUGCAAGUCGAGCGAACGGACGAGAAGCUUGCUUCUCUGACGUUAGCGGCGGACGGGUGAGUAACACGUGGAUAACCUACCUAUAAGACUGGGAUAACUUCGGGAAACCGGAGCUAAUACCGGAUAAUAUUUUGAACCGCAUGGUUCAAAAGUGAAAGACGGUCUUGCUGUCACUUAUAGAUGGAUCCGCGCUGCAUUAGCUAGUUGGUAAGGUAACGGCUUACCAAGGCAACGAUGCAUAGCCGACCUGAGAGGGUGAUCGGCCACACUGGAACUGAGACACGGUCCAGACUCCUACGGGAGGCAGCAGUAGGGAAUCUUCCGCAAUGGGCGAAAGCCUGACGGAGCAACGCCGCGUGAGUGAUGAAGGUCUUCGGAUCGUAAAACUCUGUUAUUAGGGAAGAACAUAUGUGUAAGUAACUGUGCACAUCUUGACGGUACCUAAUCAGAAAGCCACGGCUAACUACGUG